AUUCUUUGAGGUGAAAAAAGCGUAGUCAUGCACCACAUGCCGUUGGCAAUGGGUAAAAGAGAUGUUGGGAGUGACGCACCAACCAAAGAAU
rnacentral:ncRNA from 1 species